rnacentral:lncRNA from 1 species
UAUAUGUUCUCUUUCACUUUACAAAAAAUUUUGGAGGGAAUCUGAGAGAAGUCAUGGUUAGAGAUUAGUAAAGUUGGAAAGUACUGCAAAUUACCUAACCCAGCUCAUUUACAAGUGAGAAAAUCUGGGCACAGAGCGGUUAAAUCACUUGCAGAGUAACAUAUAAGAAAAAGAAACACAUGAAGGAAGGAUAAAGGAAAGGUCUGCAUGAAGUGUAGUGAUCUAGAUUGGUGGCCAGAAAUAUAAGUGUGAUUUUAUUUUCAGUUCAUGGCUAUUUUUACCACAAGAGGAACACUGAUCAGCCUAAAUUGGUCAGGGAAACAGAGAAAAGUUUUGUCCUCAAAACAUAGCUCACUGUCCAGCUUGUUGUAAAAAAAAUAAAAUAAAGGUUAACUGUCAUUAUUCUCACUGUUAUUGCUUUAUUCCACUUCUCAAGGCCUAACCACACCACUAUGUCUUGGCUUCUCUUUCACCCAUCGUCUGCCAUUUUGAGCAUUGAUUCUCCAAUGCUUUGUGGACCCUUUCUACUCUCUUUAGGCUCAAUUAAUUCCUUUAUUUUUUAAUUAAUUCAUUGGCAGAAUGUUUUCUCACAUUUUUAUAAGAGUGUUGGCUCUUGAAAGAGGUAUUUAUUACACAUGUUCUUUAACUCCAAAGGAAACCAGAAAAAAACAAACGGGGACAAGAAAUCAAUUUUCAAUUUUACAGGGAUAUUAACAGAUGAAGUAUGGUUAGAAAAAAAUUUCCUGAAGCAAAAUAACCACGCUGCCAUUCAAUCCUUGCCAUUAAUGCAGUUUGUCAUAAUACCAAAUUAAAUCCAUUUUUAAAAAGUUCUGUGUUUUUUAAAACACAUAUUUUCCCUAAAUUUAAGCAAAAGGAGAAGCUCUAUUCAAAGCAAUAAAUUCUACUUACUAUUUGUAUGGCACUGUGGUGGGCCCUGAAAAGGAUACUAAAAUGAGUAAGUACCUGCCUUCAGUAGCUGAGUGUGUCUUGUUUUUC